CCUACGGGUGGCAGCAGUCGAGAAUCAUUCACAAUGGGGGAAACCCUGAUGGUGCGACGCCGCGUGGGGGAAUGAAGGUCUUCGGAUUGUAAACCCCUGUCAUGUGGGAGCAAAUUAAAAAGAUAGUACCACAAGAGGAAGAGACGGCUAACUCUGUGCCAGCAGCCGCGGUAAUACAGAGGUCUCAAGCGUUGUUCGGAAUCACUGGGGGUAAAGCGUGCGUGGGCGGUUUCGUAAGUCGUGUGUGAAAGGCGCGGGCUCAACCCGCGGACGGCACAUGAUACUGCGAGACUAGAGUAAAGGAGGGGGAACCGGAAUUCUCGGUGUAGCAGUGAAAUGCGUAGAUAUCGGGAGGAACACUAGUGGCGAAGGCGGGUUCCUGGACAUUAACUGACGCUGAGGCACGAAGGCCAGGGGAGCAAAAGGGAUUAGAUACCCUAGUAGUC
rnacentral:rRNA from 1 species